UGAAUGGGGCUUGCAUGAGAAAAGCAAGCCUGGUUCCUCCUGUUACUAGAAAAUAUGAAGUGAUUAACAAUAUGUUAUUGUUGCAGAUGAGGAUAACAUGCAACGAAAGAUGCGAAUGCGAGUAUCUUUACCAGAGGUCCAGAGGACUAUGCUGAGAAGCUCUAUGCACAGAAAAGUGGCACUGAGGAGUCAGAUAUGGAACUUCCUGAAGUCAAGGACUAUAAAACUAGAAGACUGCUUGGAGAUGAGGACAUUGAGCAAGAGGUUUAUGGAAUUGACCCCUAUACUCACAAUCUUCUGCUUGAUUCCAUGCAAAAGGAGUUAGAUUGGCCUCUCCUGGAGAAGCAUUUGUUUAUUGAAGAUGCGCUCCUUCGUACUUUGAAUAAGCAAGUUAGGAACUUCACUGGGACUGAGAGUGGAAACAAUCCCAUGAUGUAUUCAUUGCAGCUUGUUAUUGAAGAAAAUGAAAAACUUUCUGAGGAUCGUGAUAUAAAAGCUGUGAAAAUGUGUCAGGGUAUUCUGAAGGCCAUUGAUACUUGAUAGUCAUCCUAAUGACAGAUAUGUUGCCUACAGAAAGGUUUGUCCUUUUUGGAAAUCUUUCGAGAAGCAAGAUGGGAUCGAUCUAUGCAGAAGAAUAGUAAAGAUACUGCUCCAGAAUUUUACAACAUCUAUCUCAAAAGGCAAAGGAUGAUGCUGAUGGGUAUGAUUUGGUUGUUAUUGAUGCUAUGCAUAAGGCAAACUAUGAAGUCUAAUAUGUCAUUCGUGCCGUCCAAAUUGUGAAGCAAAGUGAGUUCUGUUGUCAUACACUUUUUGUUGUUUAUAACCUACCUGCAGACCUUCCCUUAUGUACUCUUGACAAGUUCUUAGAGUAUUAUGGAACAUGACAAAACUGAAUUGAUCUCAUAUUCUAUUUUGGGACUGGACAUAUUUGGCAUUAUAAUUUAUAAGCGGGACACAAAUUUCUCAUGGUUGCUUUAUAGUAAUGUAAAUGUGGUGAAACUGUUACUUUCAUCACUUGAAUUUCUUCACUGGGAGCGUUAGUCAUUAUGUGAAGACCAGAUCAUCUAAUCAAAUAUAAAUGUUAUAUUAGCAAAUUUUCUCCUGAAGAUUCAGCUUUAGAUGCUAGAUUGUUUACUAAUACUAUAACUUGUUUAUGGGUGGAAUCAUGCCAUGUUUAAUCAUACUUUACCUCUCUACUUUCUUUUGUUCUUUUUAUAUAAUUGUUUUAUCUCACAGAUUAUGAAUAUUACCAUUUACUCAUCUUAUAUAUGAAUUGCCUCGUUUAGUUAUAUAAUUGUGAGUGAACCUAGUGUUUGAUCAUACUAUAAGUUUAUCUGUGAAUGCAGAUUUACUACUGUAGAUGUUCAUUACUAGAUUGGAAUCUAUUCUGUAUGUAAAAUUCAAUAUGGUGAGGAGAUCACAUUUGAUUAUAACUCUGUUACAGAGGUGUGUCUCUUGCAUUUUUUUCUUCUGCACUCUCUAAAGAGUAUUAUGCAUAUUAUCAAAUAAUUUCUCUCUUAAUUUUGCUAGAGUAAAGAAGAAUAUGAUGCGCCAGUUUGUUUGUGGCAGUCAAUUUUUCCAGUGCAGCUACUUGAAUCUAACAGGCAAAGGGGCUUUUCAAAAGGUGCUGGUUUUUAAGGCAAUUAUCUGGACUGUUUAUGUCAAAAACAAAAAAGGAAAUAAAAUCGUGAACAAGUCUGAUAAGUGGCUUUGACUGAACAUCCUUAUCAUUAUGGAUUAGCAUUGUAAUAAGGAUUCUUUCUGAUUGGUGUAGAAUGCCACGCCUGAUCAGGUUUCUGAUUUCAUAAUUGAUAAAUAGUUCUUAUUUUUCUCUUGUUGAGGUUGUUGCUUCCAGUUGAUUCUUAUUGGUCCUUUUCUACUUGAUUUUCAAAGUUGCCUGAAAUUCCGUUAAUUAGUUUAUAUCGUCCCUGCAUCAGGUUCUAGAUGAAUGGCAUAGAAUUCUGAACUGUCAUCAGUUAAUGCUUAAAGCUUGCUAACUAAAUUUCGUAUCUGAAGAGAAUUAUCUUGACUUGGGGAGGGCUGGUUUAGGCAGUUGCUUGCUGGGUGGGUUGCCUGAUUGGGUGGUAGCCUAUUCAGCUUGCCUGGUAGGUUUAUGAAUUUUGAAAGACCAAAGCUGCCGGCGGAGAUUCUAAAGCAUAGUUUGGUGGGAAAAAGGAAAUAUUUUUCAUAUAUAUGUCUUGAAGUUGAGAAGAGUGAUGCUGAGGUUCGUAUCUUUUUGCAUGAGACAGGCUGAGGGUGUCUACAAUCAAAGGCUUCAGAAUUUGGUGAGGAAUGUUAUGAGAUGCAUUUUUGGUGACCCAAAGGAAGCACCACCCCCUCUGGAGAGGCUUUGAGCCCUGUAGGCUGUAGCAAUUGUUUUCUUACUCUGAAAAGAAGAGGGACCAUUUGUUGAGGAGGUUCUUCAAUGCAUUGCUCCUCAUGUGGAAGAAGGCAUAUUAAAUGAUCUCAAGUCCAAGAUUCAUGCUCAUGAUCCAUCAGGAAUAUAAAGCUGCAACUUCUCCACCAGCUUACAUUAGUCCACUUGGCUUGGGUCCAGGUGCCAAGGUUUGGAAACCCUCACGGCAUCGUGUUUAUGGCCCAAGGAAUGAGAUUUAUGCUGGCAAGAAUGGAGAAGCAGCCCCAGAGGCAAUGGCCAUAAUAAGGGGAGGGAAAGCGUAGCCGUGGAUCAAAUGUGAAAAUGUUUUGUUGGCCAUAAUAAUAGCAUAAGAGCAAUGUAGCAUUAUUAAUUGGAUAAGGGAAAUAUUAGGCUUGUAAGUUGUAAUUGAUCAACCUUCGUUUCGUCAAUUUAGUUGAUCAGAUUUGGUUGGUGAUGUAUGUGCGCAUGACUUUAUUAAUUGUGUGAAAGAAUGAGACAUUGAAGGAUGCUGUCUCUCACCAAAACAUUCUUCUGCUAUAUUAUUAAGACUAUAGUUUAUGAAGAA